GCCGUUGUCCGCGUCUCUUCUCUCUCAUGAUCUCAUCUUCGCUGCCGCCCUCCACAUUCGCCGGGCUCCAAACGUCGCGUAAAGCCCCAACCGUCACGCGGAUAGGAGAAGGGGUUUGCCUUGCCGGAUGAAGGCGAGGUCGCAGAUUGCGCCGAAGCCUCUCAAGGCGGUGGCGAUGGCCCCCAGACCGAGCGGCCCUAAGCGGAAGCCGAGGCCGAAGCCGGCGGGGAAGGGCGACCCCCGCGCACCCAAGAAGCCACCCACCACCUUCUUCUACUUCAUGUAUCAUGUAUGUUCUGUGCUGGCUGCUCCCCUGUUAAUUUGCCGCCUACGGAUUUAAUGCCUGUUCUGGCCGCGACUAAGCAAUUUUGAUUAGUUGGGGGUUCUAGCGUGCAUCUCUUACAUAUCAAAAAAUUCUAAUGUAUGCUAGUGUUAGUGCAAGGUACUGCUAAAUGGGCUCACCAUUGUAGCUCAGCAGCUUGUGCAAUCAGGCUUUUGCCUAGUCUUUUCGUUUCUUUUCUUUUAACAAAUUGCCAUUUAUUGCUUUUGAUUUGGGAAUUGGGAUGCUGGGAGGUAAGGUUACAUUUUUUGUGCACUGUGGUUUUGUCUUUCAGUUUCAUCUCGGGAUGCUGUGAUUUUGCCAUUUCUUGCUUUUGAUUUGGGAAAUUAGGAUGCUCACCAUUAUAGGUUUACAUUUUUUGUGUACUGUGAUUUUGUCUUUCAGUUUCAUCUAGGAUUGAGAUUAUUGGUUAAUGUCAUUGCUGAACUUAACAUAUGGCACUGGUGUGAAGAACAUUUGGAAAGUAAUCAUCUUACUGUACUCAGUCCAGGUCGACUUUACAUGGGUUUGUAAAAGAAUCAUACGUGGUGUUACUUAUUAAAUUCUUAUUUAAUAUAAAUGCUUUAUGCUUCAACCAUAUUGACACACCAUCACCGAACAUAUCAAUUGCUCCUUAAGGUUUCUCCCACAUUUUCAGGUGUAACACUAAUGUGAAAGCUCUUUCAGUUGUUUGCCUUUGUGUUAUACACCAAUCUAUAAUGAAGCUCUAUGUUGUGCUGAAGGGAGGAUUUUCGGAAGGUUUAUAAGCAAGAAAAAACAAGUGUAAAAUCAAUGCAGGAAAUAGGGAAGGCAUGCGGCGAAAAAUGGAAUACGAUGGCAUUUGAGGGAAAGGUCAAGUACUAUGAUUAAGCUACCGAGAAACGUGCAGAAUUUGAGAAGGCGAUGAUUGAAUAUAACAAGAAAAAGGAGAGCGGAUAAAUGUCCGAGCAAUCAGAUUACGACUAGAGCUGACUAGCUGAAUAUGUAUCUGUUCCAAAUUCUUCAUGGUUCACCGUAACUGGACGAAUCAAUCAACUUUAUAUUACGGAACUAUGAUUUGUAAUGGAAUUCAUAGAUAUAUACUAGCUGGAACCUUCAGCUCAUGCAGAUACGUAUCUUCUGUAGUCGACUGAUCCUAGUUGAUGACACCGAGCCUUCUACCGGUGGUUCAUCGGUACAUAA